rfam:Drosophila ananassae strain TSC#14024-0371.13 Ctg01_16207, whole genome shotgun sequence.
GAAGGGGCCCUUUUCAGGGCCACAAAAAUAUUAAAGAGAUAAAAAU